rnacentral:rRNA from 1 species
UACGUAGGGUGCGAGCGUUAAUCGGAAUUACUGGGCGUAAAGCGUGCGCAGGCGGCUUUGCAAGACAGAUGUGAAAUCCCCGGGCUUAACCUGGGAAUGGCGCUUGUGACUGCAAAGCUGGAGUGCGGCAGAGGGGGAUGGAAUUCCGCGUGUAGCAGUGAAAUGCGUAGAUAUGCGGAGGAACACCAAUGGCGAAGGCAAUCCCCUGGGCCUGUACUGACGCUCAUGCACGAAAGCGUGGGGAGCAAACAGG